ACAAGGUGCCGCCGGUAAGCUAGCGGGGUGGGAAUGUCAAUAAGGGUGCAGCUCAGGUCUGCCCCGCCCUCAGCCCAAGGUGACACGGGGAGAGGGAGAUCUAGAACAGUCCGCCCGGGACAAGUCAGAAAAUAAUGGUGAUACAGUGACUCCCAGUUGUUGGCAGACUUACUACAACUGGAGGUAGUAGGUAGAACUCAUAUCCCCACCUUACAGAUAAGAACCAGCACUAGCAGAGGUUCUCUGAUUCAGUCAAGGUCACCCAGCGGCCUGUAGAAGAUCAGGACCCAUGUUGCCUGGCUCUAGGGCCCGUGAGGGCAGUCCAGGUGCCCUGUGGUCUCCCAAGCCAUUGUGGAGCACAGGUGCCCAUGGGCUGGGGACAGGCACACAGAAGGCAGGCCCAGGACCUUGGUGUCCUGCAGCUGGGGUAGGAGCCUGAUGCAGGGAGACGGACUUUGAUUCCAGAAAGCAAGAGCUUCUUGGGGAGGUGGGGAUGAGGCUAUUCAGACAUUUAUUAUAAGACGAGUUUCUCCCCUUCCCCAUCGCGGGGCUGGAAGAGGACUAUUUUAGGAACAGUGAGAGCUGUGUGGGUUCCAAACAGUUGGCGGGGAGCCGGUGAAGCCAGGUACGGACAGAGCUGGGGAGCACUGGAAACCAUGCCCAUUAGAACAAAAUGUUACCCGUGAGGAAGGCUGAUGGGGUUUGGGCUACGCGACAGCUGGCAACAGGAGGACACAGGACAAGGUGCCGAUCUGGGCUAUGAGAGGCUCAGGCCUGCUGGGGCCUGCCUCCGCUUGCCAGGAGAUCCCGGCUGCCUGCCUGGAGAAGGAGGCCGUACAGUGUGGGCUGGAGGCAAAGCGGGGAAAUGGUAUGGGGAAAACAGCCAGGCAGAGACCCCAGACUCCCUUCCCUGGUGGUCCACCCCCCCUCCCCCACCACAGGAAGCCGGUCAACAUGGUUCCUCUGCUGACAACCUCAAAAGCGUAAGACUCCGGGACGGGUCUGUGUGUCUGUGUGUGUCUAUAAACUUCCCCACUUCUGAGCUGGAACCAGGACUUAUUUGGCAAAGAAUGUCAUCCUGGGGAAGGAGACUGACCGCCCAGAAACAGGAACGUGUAGGUGGUUUCAUUUCUCAGAGCUCACGAUAUGGUUUAUUUAUCCAAGGCUCUGGGAUUUUUCAAAGGUUUACAGAAACAUAUAAUGGAAGAUAUGGACUUCCCACGUACCCCUCCCCCCCACACCCACUUCCCCCUUUGCUGAUAUCUUGCAUUAGUGUGCCCCACCCUUUAGGUCUUCCAUCCAGGAGUCGGAUGCCCCGCACUCUGAGUUCCAGUGGACGCGUACGAAGCAUUCAAAGGGGUUGGCCUCCAAGCUUAAGCUGUCCCCUAGGGAUGGACCUGCCCCAGGCUGAGAAGCCCCAUUUUACCUGAUCACAAGGAGGAGGAAGAACCACCAUCCUAGACGCUCCAGCUGCAAGAGCUAGAGGAAUGCACUGAGAUUGGAAAGGCCAAACCCAACUGGAAGCUGGAAGAGAAGAGAACAUGGCAGCUACAAGCCACAGAGUUCCGCUUCCCGGAACACAGAGCAAGGCGGAAAGCGGGCCUGGGGGCAAGUGGGGAGUGUCCAGUGCGCACACCAGGGAGAACAUUGCAAGGUUGGAAGCGAUGGGUUAGAGCCACACAGAGCUACAGGGACAGAUCUCAAAAACAUGGUACUGGGUGAGACAAAAAAGAUAAAUAACCUAACACUGUUUGUGUGUCAAAUGCAUGCACCUAGGGGCAACUGGGAGGCUC